rnacentral:rRNA from 1 species
GAUGAACGCUAGCUACAGGCUUAACACAUGCAAGUCGAGGGGCAGCAUUAUCGAAGCUUGCUUUGAUAGAUGGCGACCGGCGCACGGGUGAGUAACGCGUAUCCAACCUUCCCCUUAGUAGGGCAUAGCCCGUAGAAAUGCGGAUUAAUACCCUAUGUUGUAUUAUGAGGACAUCUGAAUAAUACCAAAGGUUCACCGCUAAGGGAUGGGGAUGCGUCUGAUUAGGUUGUUGGCGGGGUAACGGCCCACCAAGCCAUCGAUCAGUAGGGGUUCUGAGAGGAAGGUCCCCCACAUUGGAACUGAGACACGGUCCAAACUCC